GGGUCCAAAUAUUUACUUUCAGGUUGAGAUGGCGACACCCUAGUAGAGGUCUGAGGAAACUGAAUUUGACUAGGGUGGAGCUGAUACCCACCUCGUACCAGCGUCGAGUAGUCGACUCGACAACAGGAUUGGGCUUUGGGCUUCGCAUACAGCAGUCGGUGGACAUUGAGAUAUUCAGACAAAGAUUCUUAAUUUCCUCCUUUACUACAUAUAUAUUUUAUUAUUAGGGUUGGGCAAAUCCAAACAGGAAGAUUGAGAUUGAGAUUGAGAUUGAGAUCAGAAAAUGGGAGGUGAAGCAGCAGCUGCUGGGGGAGUGUUCAAAUUUCUAAGCCCAAGGCUUCGUCCCCAAUCAACUGACAUCCAAGCCGCCGUCUGCUGGGGCGUCGCUUCCACCACCACCGCUCUUUGGCUCAUCCAGCCAUUUGAUUGGUUGAAGAAGACCUUUUUGGAGAAACCAAAGCCUGAGGAGGAGGAGACCAAGACUUGAAAAUUCUGGUACAACCUUUUGAUUGCCUGCUGGUGGAGUUCUGCUGCGAGAAUAUGGGAAAAAUGGAAACAUCCGAUUUUGAAUAAUGUAAUUUCCAGUUUUACCUAGUUAAUAUCGCUGUUUUAUGUUGAGCUUUU